CAUACUCUUUUCUUUUGGUGCUGCCUUUGCUGCCUACUAGAAAUUUCAAGAUGCACUGAAUUUUCUUUUCAUGGAUCCAGAGAUCUUUAAGUCCGAGGAGGACGUGUCCUGGGCAAGGAUUAGUAGCCUAUGAAGGAAGGCUGGAAAUCAUCCCCAUCUAAUUCAUUGAAUAACAGAUGUUUGCAAUAAGAAAUGGAUGGUGAGUGAAAGGGAAGAACACCAUUAAGCUAAGAUGAAAGCAUUUGAAGAAAGAGGGUGAGAAGGGAGAAAAAAAGAAGUCUCAAAGCCUGAAAUGUGAAUAAUAACUCAUAGUAAUGAAGUAAUUAAGUGAAUGCGUGCAUUCUAUACUGCCACAGUUCACACAAAGCAGUGGAGACAGCAACAGUAACACUAAAAGAUAUCUCCUCAUUGUCAUGGCCAAAGGAAAGCUCUCCAUGCUCAGUGAGCUGGACCUCUUCUGUCUUUCCACAGUGAGCCUUCAGAUUUCUGUUACCCCAAAGGAGAAAACUC